rnacentral:rRNA from 1 species
GAUGAACGCUAGCUACAGGCUUAACACAUGCAAGUCGAGGGGAAACGGCAUUGAGUGCUUGCACUCUUUGGACGUCGACCGGCGCACGGGUGAGUAACGCGUAUCCAACCUUCCCUUUACUGUGGGAUAACCUGCCGAAAGGCAGACUAAUACCGCAUAGUCUUCGAUGACGGCAUCAGAUUUGAAGUAAAGAUUUAUCGGUAAUGGAUGGGGAUGCGUCUGAUUAGCUUGUUGGCGGGGUAACGGCCCACCAAGGCUACGAUCAGUAGGGGUUCUGAGAGGAAGGUCCCCCACAUUGGAACUGAGACACGGUCCAAACUCCUACGGGAGGCAGCAGUGAGGAAUAUUGGUCAAUGGACGGAAGUCUGAACCAGCCAAGUAGCGUGCAGGAUGACGGCCCUAUGGGUUGUAAACUGCUUUUGUAUGGGGAUAAAGUUAGGGACGUGUCCCUAUUUGCAGGUACCAUACGAAUAAGGACCGGCUAAUUCCGUG